UCCCUGGAAGUCCAGUGGUUAAGACUCUGUGCUUCCAAUGCAGGAGGCACAGGUUCGAUUCCUAGUCAGAGAA
rnacentral:tRNA from 1 species